rnacentral:tRNA from 1 species
GAGGGUAUAUCUCAGUGGUAGAGUGUGUGCCUAGCAUGCAUGAGGUCCUGGGUUCAAUUCCCAAUGCCUCCA